AUUGAACGCUGGCGGCAGGCCUAACACAUGCAAGUCGAACGAGUGGCGGACGGGUGAGUAAUGUCUGGGAAACUGCCCGAUGGAGGGGGAUAACUACUGGAAACGGUAGCUAAUACCGCAUACCAUCAGAUGUGCCCAAAUGGGAUUAGCUAGUUGGUGGGGUAAUGGCGCACCAAGGCAACGAUCCCUAGCUGGUUUGAGAGGAUGACCAGCCACACUGGAACUGGGACACGGGCCAGACUCCUACGGGAGGCAGCAGUGGGGAAUAUUGCACAAUGGGCGCAAGCCUGAUGCAGCCAUCCCGCGUGUAUGAUGAAGGCCUUCGGGUUGUAAAGUACUUUCAGCGGGGAGGCGUUACCCGCGGAAGAAGCACCGGCUAACUCCGUGCCAGCAGCCGCGGUAAUAC
rnacentral:rRNA from 1 species